GAUGAACGCUGGCGGCGUGCCUAAUACAUGCAAGUCGAACGCUGGAGCUCUAGCUUGCUAGAUCGAAGGAGUGGCGAACGGGUGAGUAAUACAUAAGCAACCUACCCACGAAUACUGGGAUAAUCUCUGGAAACGGGGACUAAUACCUGAUAGGUAAUCGGAAGGCAUCUUCUGGUUAUUAAAGGUUAAAAACACUGGUGGAUUGGCUUAUGGCGCAUUAGUUAGUUGGUGAGGUAACGGCCCACCAAGACGAUGAUGCGUAGCCGGCCUGAGAGGGUGAACGGCCACAUUGGGACUGAGACACGGCCCAGACUCCUACGGGAGGCAGCAGUAGGGAAUUUUAGGCAAGGGGGGCAAACCUGACCGAGCAACGCCGCGUGAGUGAAGACGGCCUUCGGGUUGUAAAGCUCUGUUGUAAGGGAAGAACGGUAGAUAGAGAAUAUCUAAGUGACGGUACCUAAACAGAAAGCCACGGCUAACUACGUG
rnacentral:rRNA from 1 species